ACGAGAGUUUGGUUGAUGCAAUGCAACAUGGGAGAAUUGUCUCCUGCUGUUGUUCCCUGGUGUAUAUGGGACUUCUGCAUGCUCUGUGUGUUCACGCUUUACAGUGCUCAAAGGUUCAAAUAAGAUUGCAAAAGUGAAGUUUUUCACUUGCAUUGAUAGUAUUCAACUACUGUAUUUGGCAAAUCAGCCUGUGGUGAUUGUCGAUCAACCUGGCAGUGAAACAAGAAUAUUCAAUGAGCUCACCCUUUGUUAACGGGUUAUAUCUGCAUCAAUGUGUUUUUCUUGCUUCAGAUGACAUCCGUACCAUAUCAGACUGACGCCAUUGCCGCACAAGUAAACUGCCGUUUUGUCAAUGACUGAUAUUCUCAGCCUUGAAGAAGCAGAUCUUUCAACAUCUCCAACAAACAACAUGAGUUCAGGCAACGCUGGCACAGGGCUUAAGGAUGCAAAUUUGGAACCUACAGGAUACCCUCCAACCCUGUUUAUAUUCAACUAAAUGAACUAAAUUUUCAGAAUUCACCUAAUAACUUCAGUAAAAAUAGUUCAUUUGGUUGAAGGAGGGUAUCCUCUAGGUUCCAAAUUUGCAACCCUGUCAGGGCUGCGCUUCACCUUGCAUCUACCAGGAAAGUUACUAGAACCACAUAUCUUUAACUAAACUACAAAAGCACCAAGUACUCCCUCUGUAAACUAAUGUAAGACGUUUUAAAUCACUAUUAGUUUACGGAGGGGGUAUCUUCAUAUACUGGAGGAGGGGGUAUCUUCAUAUACUGGAGUGCUGGUUUAUUAGCUUCGGAAGGAGCGCGCAUGCUGUGAAGAUGUACAUAAUAGUGCAUACGUAUAAACACCAAAGUUAAAAACAGAGCAAAACCCAUCGCAGCCAGCGAAGCAAAAUAGUCAGCUUACAUAAGUUCAAGAGUGCAUUACAAAACCAGCAUAUAUAUAGUAUAACACACUCAAAAGGAAUGUACCAUUAUGGGAAAGAAUUUUCACCACAGAACAAUUUUCCUUAUAUCAGGAAUUUUUUACUUGUGAAUUGGGCUCAGUGCCUUUGAAAUAUUUGCGCCUUCCUGUUUUUGAUGUUAGAAUUAGAAAUAAACUGUCAAAAAUUAUGACUAAAAAAAUUGAGAAAAGGUGUGCUUAUUGGCAGGGGAGGUUGUCGAACAUAGCUCAGAGAGUUACACUGGUUCAGUCAUGUCUGACUAAUAUACCAAUUUAUAUGAUGUCUUUUUACAGAUGAUGCCUUUAAAAAAAAUCAUGGUAGUAUAGAGAACACUAGAGGUAAUAAAAAUUACACCAGGUCCAUGUGUCGGCGUUCUGGGAACGGGGGUCCCAGGACUUGCCUGCCUGCGGCCUGCGGCGUGGCUCAAAGGGGGGCCCAGCACGACCCGUCUUCACCAACACAAACCCAAGACCCUCGCGAGGGGCCAAGCCUCGCGGGGCGGACGACGCGGAGCUUCCUCAGGCACGGCCUCGUCAGGCUGGCUCACGAGGAGGCGGAGAGAUCAAGGCGGGGUACUUCACGAGGUGCCCGUGACGCAAGCCAUGACGACUCAGGGCGCCAGGCGGGUGCCAGCCCGCGCAGCGUCCUCCUUUCCUCUUUAGUGCAAAGGGGGCAAGCGCAGCCGCGGAGUACCGAGGCAUCAGGCAAAGGUUGCCAUUUCGGUGUAACGAGACCAAGACCAGGAGGACUACAAGAUGGAGGUCAUCGUGGAGCCCAAGACGGCGUCAUCACCAGAGCUUUGCGCAGGCGAAGACUACUUUUGUCAGGAUAGCUGAUACCAGCUGUCCCCCUUCAAAUUAGCCCGCCAUUGUUGGCUCCCUUCCCGCUCGAUAUUUGGGAAGAGGACCAGGGCCUCUAUAAAUAGGACCAGCCACCCACAGAGGGGGCGGAGGGGGUUCGGUCGGUUUUGCUGGAGGUGGAGAGAGAGAGAAGGUGACUGAACUCCUCCGAGCAGUUCAUUGCCCUAGCCAAGAACAAACCCUCGUGAGGCUGUUCUUCCUUGUAUUGUUCAUCAUCAUCAGCCCAAGAGGCAAUCCACCACACCACACACUGGAGUAGGGUAUUACACCACAACGGUGGCCUGAACCAGUAUAAACCCUGUGUCUCUUGUGUUGUUCUUUCCGUAGUUUUAGAUCCUAGCAUGGCGGAGGGGUGCAGGUAGAUAGGAGGCGAAAUCUCCGCGCGCACCCCAGUGUUCAAACCUCAAGGGUCUGCCGGAACCCGAAAUUCGACAUUUGGCGCGCCAGGUAGGGGUGCGCCGGAAUUCGUCUUCCACCGCUCCGUGCCCCGUCGCGUCGUCAUCACCAUGCCUGGCGACAGGGAGGGCAACCCAGACCCAUGGGCGGCAUGGCCCGCCCGCGCAGAGCCGCUCGCCUCGGGCGACCCCGUGCCCCAGGCAGCUCGCGGUCCGUAGGGCGCUGCAGGCCGCGGGCGACGCGGACAGGCUUCGACAGCUCUCACAUCGCGGCAGGCGUGGUCGGCAGCAAGGGCCUCCAAUCACGCCGCGACCACGACACCGUACGCCCGCUGGGAGCAAGCGAACUCGAGGGCUGCGCUCACGGUGGCCCGAGAGCUGCUGCAGUGCAGACUGCUGGAGGGCGGCCGCGACGUGCUGCUGGAGCGGGUGGCAGAGCUCCUGGGCUUCGCCGCCUCGGGGGCUCACCCCUUCUGCACCCAGCUCCCAUCUCCAACCCAGGGCGGCCCGCGCGGGGGCCCCGCGCGCGCCCGCGGGCUCCAAGGCUACUCCAACACCAGCGAGGCUGUCAGCACCGGACCGGCGGCGGCGCAGCCCCCGCUCCUGGUCCGCAAAGAAGAAGGACUCGACGCGCCCCGCGGCCCCAAUGGACAGCCGCGCUGCCACCCCACGGUAGGCGCGUCAGGCAGGACCGCGUGGCGCGCAGAGCACUACGGCGUGGCCUUCGGGGUGACGGCGCCAGAGGAAUACGUGCCCCUCAUGAUGGACCAAGGACACCCACACGAGGGCGAACAAGGCUCGCUCCUCAGCCCAAGUUGGGGGGACGAGGCGCCAGAAGCUAAGCCCUUCCAGGAGUCUCGGGAUGGUCCCACUGGACACGCUGGAGGCAACGAUUAUCGGGUACCGCUAAUUCCUCAGCAGGCAUACGCUAACCAUGGAUCGCAGGAGGUGCAGGUUGCCACGGCGGGCAGCUGCCCCGCUCCCAUAGUCUCCUACCCCUCGGGAGGAGGGCGCAGGGGGCUGCAGUAGAGGGGUAGGGAUUCGACAUCACCACCGCGGCGUUCGGAGCAAGGUGUUCUCAGGAGGUAGGCCCUCCGCUGGGGAGGUGCCCCAGGGCCUGCCCCCGGCGGAGGACCCGUGGUCGUCGGGGGAAUCGCUGGCGACCACUCUACCCCAUCGGCGGCGUCCUGGUUUCCGGUCGUCGUUGAUGGCACUAGAGUGUGGCGCAAGGCGGGGCCCUCAUCUGGCGAUAUGAAGCAAGGCCAGUACCUGUGAAGAAGGCCCAGUGCCUGUGAAGCUCGCCGUCCCGUGACACUCUCACGUAAUAAUGAGUGGGGUUGUACACGCCCCGGAGUCUCAGGGGUGCCGGCCUCAGGCCCUAGGGCUCCCUCCCACGCCCAGUGACAGCACUUAGCUCCGCGCUGGUGAGAAGACGUCCAAGACUAGACUAGGUGCCGGACGCGGCCUUUUGUUUGCUUUCGUUGCUCUUCCCCUUGGUUGUCGCUUCCCCCCGCUGGAUUCAAGUUGGAUUCGAAUUUGAGAUCUGCGUGUGUUCGGGGAAGGGGUGCUUACUCUCGUUCGAGCAAUUUCUCGCGUUUUGGUUACCACUUCGCCUCAGCCGUCUUCCCUCGCGAGCCCCUCGCGAGCCGGGUCAGGCCUAGCUUGCGCGCAGCCCAGACUGCCGCCGUCGCGUCCUCUCAGGAGGGUGUUUUACUGCAGAUCCUACGGAUUCAAUCAGGGGACACUCAGGACACCACAACCCCCCGCGGGCUGCCUCAGGGCCAGCACGAAACAAAGGUAAACUAGCCGACCAGCGUGUCGCUUAAGCCAGCCACCUGGCGCGAGCGCAUGGGCGAUGUAGCUUCUACUAAUACGAUAAACACAAGUUUUACAUGAGGGGCUUCCCCUCCAAAAUGCUCUCACAGCUAUCAGGCCAAAACCCGAGUUCUAUUCAUUCAGGGUGAGGAAGCAGGAACAAUGCACAAUCAGUCGGAUGAAUUCCCCAAUGCGUCCUCAGGAGCACCACCAGAGCCGUCCAUCACGCCGCCCUCGUCAGCCGCCACGAUCACGUCGUCGUUGUCCGAGGCGAAGGCCCUGAUAAGAGCGUCCACAUUGUCUUCCACCCAGUGCGCCAGCUCGCCUCGGACGGCCUGGGGGACUGGGGCGAUGGCGGCGUCAAAAUCAAAGUGGGGAUCCAUAUUCCGGAGGUGGCUGAAGACGCGAGAAAAGGCGCGCCUGAGCAGGGCGCGGCUCCUCUCCUCCACCAACCUGUCAGCCCUGAUCGACCGCGCCUCCAGCUGCGUCACCACGUCAGUGAAGAACUGAAGAUUGCCAGCAUAGUUGACUGCGUGCGGCUCGCCAACGGCCUCCUCGCAGAUGUUGCCCAAGGCUGCAUUGGCUCUUUCCCGGAGCAUGGUGAGCAUGGGACCGUGCUCGUGCUCCAGGAUCCGCCGCUGACGUAUCUCGUCCGCAUUCUGACGCGCGACGGCCUCAGCCUCCUCCACCCGCUGGCGAAGAAGGAGCACCUCGGCCAAGGAAGUGGUUAACUCACCUUGCGCCACCUCAAGGGCGGCCCGGGAAGUAUCGGCCCGCCGCAUUACCUCCUCCAGUUUGGACCUCAAGGCGGCAGUCCUGCCUUCAGCUUCGUCCCGGAUCAACCCCAGCUUCUCUUUGAACUCGUGCUCGAGGUUCAAAUGCGCCAUCGCCACUCGACGCCCGACCUCCUCCAGGACGCGGGCUUCCUGUGCAGCAACAUCAUCCUCCGCCUGCGUCACCAAGCGCUCCCUCGUCUCCAGACGCUCGUACUCGCGGGUACGUUCGGUGGCUUCCAGCGUCAGCGCCUCCUCACGCUUCUGGAGCUUUGCUGAGUCGCCAGAGGCCGCCUUCAUCGACGCGAGGGCUGCCUCGCGCAGCUCCACCUGCUCCUCCAGCGAGUGGCACCAGGCCAGAAGCUCCCGAGCCCGCUCCUCCGCAGCCGUUCGCCGCCGGUCAGCUUCCCGAGCCUCCUCGGCGGCCCGAGACCGGGCCUCCCGAGAGGCCACCAACGACGCAUUGGCCUCUGUUUCAUCAAGAUCACGCUGACGACACGCAAGGGCGAUGGCGCCCUCCAGCUCGCGCCUCUCUGCAGCCAGGCGCAGGCCCUCGGCCUCAAGGCGCACGUCUUCAUCAGCAAGCUCCUCACCAAGCAGGCUCACUGCGUCAGUCGCCCUUCGAAGGAAUCCUUGGCGGAGAGCGCGACGCUCCCGAGCGCGCUCGAGUACGUCUUCCACACCAUCAUCUGCCCCAAGCAAGCGCCGGGGGCCGCGAGUCAGCACUCCCCCUCCGGGCUGGGGGCUGGGGGCUGGCACCCUCGUGACGGCCGGGCAUGCCGUGUCAGAAGCCCGGCCUGGGGCCAACCCGUCCUCAGGAGAAGAGCGCAGGAAACGCCUCAGCCAACCGCAGUCCACGACCAGGCGAGAAGCCCAUGGCAGGCUAGAUAUGCCACGAGAAGGCCCGCGAAGGAGGAUCACGAGGUGCGCGGAGCCACGAUAUGCCUCAGGAUGGUUCGCCUCUUCAAUCGCCCUCACCACAAGGGCUCCGCUGCUCGGAGCGCUUGAGGAUGGUGGAGGGGGCGAGGUCAAGAGAGACGCCUCCUCAACCGUCUCCGCAAGCUCGGCUGGAAGGGGCCUGCGGAGCAAGGGUCAGUACAAGUAACAGAAGGAUCGAGAGCCGGGAAAGGAGAAGGCUUACUCAUCAGUGGCGAAGUACUUCCUACGCUUCAGCAGGUGACAGGGGUAAUCGUCGCCCAGGGCCUCCCUUCUCUUCUGGAGAGCCUCGAAGUUCACACGGAAGCGACCCAAGAGUUGGGUGCAUGGAUCAACCUUCGACGAAGACAGAGCGUCAAGGCGAUCUGCGGCAGGGGCGCCUGCCUGAUGUGCGCUGCCAAUCGCCUCCCCAAGAGAAGUAGCUGGAGCCUCAGGGGCCCUAGUCGCAGGCACUGAGGGCAGCUGCUCGUCACCCUCAGCCUCAGCGACACGGGCCCAAGAGCUGCUUCCUCAUGAGCCUCACCCGGCACUGUCACCGCGCCGGGAGCCCCCUCGGCCUCUGGCGCCUCGUGCCUCCCUGCUCCGCCACUCAAGGAUGAGUCGCCUUGGCCGACUGGAAGGGCAAUCACCACCACUGGGUUCUCGUGAGGCCCCUGAAGGCUGGCGGGACGCGGCCCCCACUCAUCAAAGACAGGCAUCUGCUUCACAAAGUCGCCCCUGCUCUGGCAGAGGUACAGCAAGGCCCCUCCCUGCCGGACGCUGCCGGGGUUGGGGUCCCCAGCCAGGGUCAAGAGUGCCGUCCUCAGCACCUCAGGAGUCAGGUCCUCUUCCUGGAGCCUCAUACGAUCCUCGCGCCCACGGAAGGCCCACAUCCGGCGAGAGUGGCGUUGAAAAGGAGCAAUGCGGCAUAGAAGGAACUCCUUCACCACCUUGGGCGCUGUCACGCCAAGCGACCUCAAGAGCACGAAGCGGCGCCAGACGAAGACGAGCCGGGGGCUCUCAAGCGUCUCCUGGCCCCAGCCCGAAUUGGGGACAGCAGGUGAGGUCGGCUCCGAUAGCAGGGGGCUGGGCACCCCUGCGUCCACAUACAGCCACCGCUCGCGGAACCCAACCGCGGGCAGGGGGAGCUUGAAGUCAAUCCUAGAGGCCGCAGUCUCGGACGCGGCAACGAAGUUCACGCAAGCCCAGCAUUGGGUAGGGUCGACAAGAUGCAACGAGAAGAAGUGGCGCAGCAAGGCAACCGAAGGAGGGAUGCCCACCAUAGCUUCACAAACAAAGGUGAAGACCGAAAGGAGGGUGAUGGAUUCAGGACCCAGAUGCAUCAUGUGGAUCUGAUAGUGGGAAAGCACGGCGUUGAAGAAAUCAGAAAAAGGAGGAACCAGACCCGCCCACAGGGCGUCGGCAAGAUACGGGACCUCGGUGGCUGUCCUGUCGAUGGAGAAGUGGGACGCGGGCCAGGCUGUCGUCCUCCCGCAUUCAUUGAAGAUGGUGGCCAGAGCCAAGCUGACCUUGCCCAAGCCCUCGGCGGGGGCCGCCGACGGCGGCGGGCAAGGCGGAGACACGGGUUUCUUCCCUCUCCCCUUCUUCGUUGGAGCCAUGGCGAUGGAAAGGGGGGGAAGGUUCGAGAUCAGGUUGAAAACAGAAGCCGGAGUUCGAGCGGAAGGAGGACAAAGGGCACUCGAGCAACAGAAAAGGGAACGGCUGUGUACGACUACGGGUCCGCCUAGCGUGGCGUAAAAUAAGGAGGGCGUGGGGGAACAGUGCCGCCCACGACCAAUCAACCGCCGCGCGGCGCCUAAGGCCGCAGGCUGUUAGGGCCCGCGGCGCUUCGCUCUUGCCCUUCCGCCUCCUUGCACGGCCAAGUCCGAGCGCGCCUUGGGCCCGGGGGCUACUGUCAGCGUUCUGGGAACAGGGGCCCAACACGGCCCGUCUUCACCAACACAAACCCAAGACCCUCGCGAGGGGCCAAGCCUCGCGGGGCGGAUGACGCGGAGCUUCCUCAGGCACGGCCUCGUCAGGCUGGCUCGCGAGGAGGCGGAGAGAUCAAGGCGGGGUACCUCACGAGGUGCCCGUGACGCAAGCCAUGACGACUCAGGGCGCCAGGCGGGUGCCAGCCCGCGCAGCGUCCUCCUUUCCUCUUUAGUGUAAAGGGGGCAAGCGCAGGCGUGGAGUACCGAGGCAUCAGGCAAAGGUUGCCAUUUCGGUGCAACGAGACCAAGACCAGGAGGACUACGAGACGGAGGUCAUCGUGGAGCCCAAGACGGCGUCAUCACCAGAGCUUUGCGCAGGCGAAGACUACUUUUGUCAGGAUAGCUGAUACCAGCUAUCCCCCUUCAAAUUAGCCCACCAUUGUUGGCUCCCUUCCCGCUCGAUAUUUGGGAAGAGGACCAGGGCCUCUAUAAAUAGGACCAGCCACCCACAGAGCAAAGGGGGCGGAGGGGGUUCGGUUGGUUUUGCUGGAGGCGGAGAGAGAGAGAGAAGGUGACUGAACUCCUCCGAGCAGUUCAUCGCCCUAGCCAAGAACAAACCCUCGCGAGGCUGUUCUUCCUUGUAUUGUUCAUCAUCAUCAGCCCAAGAGGCAAUCCACCACACCACACACUGGAGUAGGGUAUUACACCACAACGGUGGCCCGAACCAGUAUAAACCCUGUGUCUCUUGUGUUGUUCUUUCCGUAGUUUUAGAUCCUAGCAUGGCGGAGGGGUGCAGGUAGGUAGGAGGCGAAAUCUCCGCGCGCACCCCAGUGUUCAAACCUCAAGGGUCUGCCGGAACCAGAAAUCCGACACCAUGGACCACCUAGCAACGACUACAAGCACUGGAAGGAGUCGAAGGCACGCUGCCAUCAUCGCCCCUUCCUCACCGGAGCCGGACAAAAUUUAUUAUAGUAGACAGCCGAGAAGUCGACGUGCUAAGGCCCUAAAGGACGAUCACACCAGAGCAGCGAUCAUCGUAGAUGAAGAGAGUAGUAGAUGGGAAAGGUCAAACAUGUAACCACAUGAAUGAAGAUGAGUAAAACCUGCAUCCGAAUAGAUCCACCGAAGAUCAGCACCGACCGAACCCCACGAGAUCCGAUGGAGACACACCUCCAGACGUCGUCCGACAGCGCUAUACACACCAUCGGGACGAGGAUCAGACGUGGGAGACAUUAUUCCUACCAAGGGACAUCGCCACCGCCCCACAACCUCAACCAAGAGGUUGAACCUAACAAAAACAAGAACGGGCCCCUCCCAUCGAAGGCGGGGCGGACCAACGGCGACGCCGACGGGAGGAGGAAGAAGACUUUUCUUGAGAAGGAAAGACAACCAUGUAUGGGGCACAACAAAUGGGCGUCUAAGCGGCACAUUAACGUACUUUUGUGUGAAAAUGGUACGAAAUGUGGCCAAGAAUAUAUGUCGUCAUGAUCAAAUUUAGAGUUUGUCCCCGAAUUCAGAGAGAGGAGUGGUCUGCUCCUUCAGCCCCUUCCUCUUGCGGAUAUCGACUACACAUCAAUCGUGUUUGCGUUCUCUUUCUCGUGCUCUUACUUUUUUUGCAAGUUUGGCUUCCGCAUUCUUAUCUUGUUGACUGUUGCAAACUUGCAAUAGUAAGCUUAAAACUUCACAACUAAAAUUGUUUUUUUAUAACAGGUCUAUUCAACUCCCCCUUAAUAUAUUCCUUGAUCCUACAAUGACACAUUGCCAAGUUCAAGGGGGGAGUUAGCCAAGGAGUAUGGGUUCAGGGUCACCCGAACCGGUUUCGACUAGGCUUUGACAAUCCCAUAUGUGCGAAGGCUGAUGCCUCAAAUCUAAUGUUAAUGAAACCGAAAUUUUUGAUGUUGCGUAUGGCGUUUCUACAUGUUGCAAGUUUGUAUGGUGGCUGUUAUGUACAGACGAGCCAUAUGUGGCAACUAUUCCGGACAUCUGUUGCGCAUGGUUGACUUUUUUUUAUCUUGCAAAUGUAUUUAUCCGUUGUUGUCUGUGUUGAUUUGUUGCACGUGCUUGUCUUUCACGUUACUUGUCUUGUGACCACUUUUUUUCCCUACUGCAAAAAAUGUGUAUUUGUCGUGUGCCAAGGAUUUUUGGUUUCAUGUGGCAUGUUCAAAUUUGUCACAACGAUUUUUGGCAGGGUCAUGGGAGAAAAUGUUGCCACAAUGCCGCAUACAUACAACGAUAACGUUGCUGACAGGUGCAACAUUGGGGUGUGGAAUCUAUGGACUUAAGAAAGAGUUGGCCUGUGGAGUUGUCUAGAGUUGUAGAGUUGAUUGUAGUUGCUUGAAGAUAAAACUUUUGAUCUAUGAAUUUCAGGACUUGCACGGAGUUGAUUGCAGUUGCUUGAAGCUAUCAUUUCACAAUAGGAGUGUAUUCACAACAACCACGGUUUAAGUGGGCUCCACCCUUGCAGGAAAAGUAAGUCCAACACCAACAUACUCCCUCUGUUUCAAAUUAGUUGACUAGGAUUUGUCUAGAUACGGAUAAGUAUCUUACAAUCAAUAGUUGUCGACUAGGCCGAUCCACGCUCAAGAAAUACCAUGGGUAUUAUUUCUUCUAUAAAUGACCUUUUUCUAAGCUUAGUUGCUUCACUGAUCUCUCCAAAAACUUGUACCCACAUCUGGCUUUUUAAAAUCGUGUCAAACCGUUUGGCAUGUCUAAUACACGCAGUGACGGUUCGGCGCCACUUUGAGGGGGCAAGUGGUGUGCUUAAUAAGUUUUUAAAAGGGCUACUCAGGGAUAAGAAUCAAAUAUGGAUCCACUUGAUAAGUGGUGUGCUUAAUAAAAUAUGGAUCCACAAUAAGUUUUUAAUAUUGUGGAUUUGUGGGGGUGCUAGUGAGACAUGUGACAAAUGUACAAAAUAAAAUUUGCUCGAUGGCCCUAAAUAUGGAUCCACUUGACAAAUUAAUAAUGGUAAACUGUGGGGUGGCUCGCCAAAAACUGCCCCUUUCUCAUCUCAGCGCGUCAUCCUCGCCGAAGCAUUUCGUCGAGCGAGGGCCGCGCGCCGCCCAAAACCCCACAUCCCAAAUCAAAACCCUACGCUCCGCCGCCGCGCCAUGCUCCACUCCGGCCUCUCCAAGUCCCAGCCCCUACCGCUCCUCGCGGGAGCGUCUUCGCCUCGCCGCGCCCUCCUCGCCGGUCUCCUCCGCGCCGGGUACUUCUCUAAGUCCGCUACCUCCUCACCCGCGCUUCGUCCGUCCGCCACCCGUGCGAGCACCAGGGCGGCGACUACCCCGCGAGAUCCCUCGCGCUUCGGCCUGGGACACAGGGUCUCGUUCUCCACUGCACCAGAUGGUUCUGAUUCGGUCGGCGGCGGCGGGAGGUCGCUCCCUUGGCUAGCCGCCGGGAGCGUCGAUAGCGGCGUCCCCACCUCAAGGACUAGCGCCGGACGCUCCUCCUCGUGGGAGAGCUCCGCUGAUAAGUUCUUCUCUAAAGGCGACCAAAGUGCGCGAGUAGAGACAUUGGAAGAUAGCGUUUCAUACAAGGAGGGGGGAAUUGGAGGGGAGGAGAAUGAACCGAUUGACAAUCCCAAGUGGGGGCGGAUUAAGGAUAAGUUCCGGCAAAACGUGGCAAGGGAUGAAGGGUCCCGUGACCGUGGUGAGAGGUUUGAAAAACCGGAUGUGAGGCGGUGGAACAAGCAAGAGGACCGUGGUGAGAGGUUGGACAAGCCGGAUGUGAGGCGGUGGAACAAGCAAGAGGACCGUGGUGAGAGGUUUGACAAACCGGAUGUGNNNNNNNNNNNNNNNNNNNNNNNNNNNNNNNNNNNNNNNNNNNNNNNNNNNNNNNNNNNNNNNNNNNNNNNNNNNNNNNNNNNNNNNNNNNNNNNNNNNNNNNNNNNNNNNNNNNNNNNNNNNNNNNNNNNNNNNNNNNNNNNNNNNNNNNNNNNNNNNNNNNNNNNNNNNNNNNNNNNNNNNNNNNNNNNNNNNNNNNNNNNNNNNNNNNNNNNNNNNNNNNNNNNNNNNNNNNNNNNNNNNNNNNNNNNNNNNNNNNNNNNNNNNNNNNNNNNNNNNNNNNNNNNNNNNNNNNNNNNNGGUGAGAGGUUUGACAAGCCGGAUGUGAGGCGGUGGAACAAGCAAGAGGACCGUGGUGAGAGGUUUAGAGGGGAGAGGUUCAACCAGCCAGAUGUAAGGCGGUGGAACAAGCAAGAGGACUGGGGCAGGAAGACAUGGAAGGAGGUAGGGGAAUCGACAGUGCCAAAGAUGGUUGGGGAGGGGGUUUACGGUGUUGGGCCGGUACUUGCGGCUCUCACGGCUGGGAGGAGGGAGUUCUAUGCAUUGUACACACAGGAAGGAAUGGAUUUGAGCAGGAGCAACAAGAAGAAGAAGGACAAAAGGGGGAUUGAGAAGGUGCUGCUGAUGGCAGAGACUAUCGGGCUUAAAGUUAUUGAGGCGUCAAAGCAUGACCUCAACAUGGUGGUGGAUAACCGUCCACAUCAAGGUCUGGUGCUUGAUGCAUCACCCUUGGAAAUGGUGAAUACUAAGGAGUUGGAACGAGUCAGGGUUCGUGGUGGCAAGGCACCAGUCUGGAUAGCUUUGGAUGAGGUUAUGGACCCUCAGAAUUUGGGAGCCAUAAUUAGAUCAGCCUACUUCUUUGGUGCGGAGGGUGUUGUCUUGUGCGCUAAGAACUCUGCUCCAUUAAGUGGAGUAGUGAGCAAAGCUAGUGCAGGCUCGCUUGAGUUGAUUGAGCUGCUUUCGUGUAGGAAUAUGAUGCAGUUUCUGUCUUCAUCAGCUGAAAAUGGGUGGCGAGUUCUUGGUGGUACCGUCGCUCCAAAAGCUAUACCUCUCUCUGAAGUUACCACAGGGGAGCCAACAAUUCUGGUGUUGGGCAGUGAAGGCACCGGUCUGAGGCCCCUGGUUGAGCGAUCCUGCACACAUUUGGUCAAAAUUGCUGGUAAUGCUGAUGGAUUUGUUGUAGAAGAAGAAAUAGAUGCCACAGAUGCAGAUAUAGGGGAAGAAGGUGAUAAUUAUUCAGGUAUUCAAGAUAUGAAAUCAUUCCUUGCAGUAGAGAGCUUAAAUGUUAGCGUGGCAGCAGGAGUUUUGCUUUAUCAUCUGGCUGGAAAGAAUGUCCACCCUGUAACUGAGAAGCCUAGCAUCUCUCCUGUGUAAGGAUGUUCCAUGUUUCAUCCAUACCAUAGUUACUAAUAUUUGUUUUCUUGUACUCCCAUUAAGGAUGAACUUUUGUUUCUGUUGCAUGCUUUGAAUUUGCUGGUUUGACUAAUAAUUUAUUGCAUAGGUGUGAGGGCAACUUCUUUGAGAAAUAGCUUAUUUCACCAGGCUGAGUCAGAUUCUAUGCAUGUUUGUUUCAAGGCUAACCAUGCCAUAGCUAACCCUAGUUAAUUUGUGGUUUGCCGCAGAAGUGUGGCAAAAAUGUCUAUGAUGUAUGGGCCAUAUGGAUAAAAAAGUGUGGCAAGUCACAGUAGCUAGGAAUGUAUUUUAGAAGAGAACACGGUAGCUAGAAACCAAACACACACCUGAAAAACAGUGGCGAGCCUAAGUUAGGCGUGUCAAAUUGUGUGCAGGAACAAAACAGCCCCUGGACCUGUCAAUUGCAGAUACAUGAUUCCGGAGCAUAUAUUGACACCAUCAUAUCACUUAGUACUUAUUUUGGUGUAAUCUGGAACACACAUUAAAAGAGGAUGACUACUGCAAGACCAUCAUUCUGUUGUUAUCAUAUUUACUUACAUAUAACAAGCUAGUUUGUUGUGUCACUGGAAGUCUGAAACAUCUCUCUGCUAAGAGGUGAAAUAUUCUGCUUGAUUGUUGAAGUUCAUAUCACGGUAUCAUCAUUUGCUUUCAGACUUGAUCACCGAUCCUGUUGAGUGUUGAAACUUCCAAUUGCAGUGUAAUGUACCUUGAGCCAUCAAAGCUAUUUAUAUGUUGGUAUAUCCGUAUAUGAUUAGGUAGUACUAGUCAACUGAGCCAACAAAUAUGCAAUUGCAUUUGCAGUUUUGAACCGUAGCAACAAACUUUCUGCUUCUUUGGUGAACUGAUAAAUGACCUUACUUAAUUGAACGUUUCCAGCUGUUGAAGUGGUAUCCAGAAUUUUUUUCUGAUUAGUCUGUUAAUCCCAAUUUAUUGUAGUAAGUAAACUAAACUGACCGACCGACUGUUAAUAGUAAUCCCUGGAAGGAUAUCAAUCUUCACCAGCGGAUCAAUUAAUUGGGGAUGACUAUAGUUCUUUGACAUGUCAUGGUUACCAUGCAGAGAUGGACACAACUCUUGGUCUGUUACUCUGUUUAGGCAAUUGGACAAACAUUUAUGUGGAAUAUAUGCAUGACUGUCCUUUGCAUAACAUGUUGUAUAAUCUUGAAUUAAGCCUCCGUUUCCAGCUCAGGUUCAUUCAGUAAAGUUAUUUUUGGUGAAUUAUAGAUGUGGUAUUGAAAUACUUUUGCUUUCUAUUAUCUCUGGAGAUAAGUAUACAAAUGGGAUAAUUCAGCUCCUCGGUCACUUCAUUCUGUAUUAGUUUAUUUAUUAUCAAGAAAGAUUGUACCCAGUCACUGAGUGUUUAGCUAUGCUAUACUGCUAUCUAAUGGAUACAGGACCAGCAAAGAGUAAGUGCAAACCUAAAUAUCCAAAGCGGUCAAUAGUUGGCUAAAGUGACAAACUGACACUUGAAAGUUGUAGGAGAUGAUUUAGAGUUGAGUGUUCUAAUUAUGCUGAAGGGCUCAUGAAAGAUCUUCAAAGUCAUCUUCAGUUUCUUCAUAAUAUAUGCCGCAGGUAUUCAACAAUCUCAAUCAUUCAAUCUUUAUACUUGUUGACAACCAAUUUAUGUAGGAUGAAGCUCAAAUAUGCAAUUCUUAGUUGCUCCAACCAACCUUUAGUGACAUAUUAGUUCGGCACUCUGUAAUUACAGUUGAGAAUCAUAAGAUUAGCAUUGAUAGAAAAGUUGACAUUAACCAGUCUUCUAGGUGAGUGCCGGGAGGUACUGUGUCACAAGAGUAUGACUAUUAUUUCAUGUUAUUUUGGAAGAACUGUGGAUUUAUUUAUUAAUUUAUUACUACAGGAGAACCACCGGGAUUCAGUUUGACCAUUUACCGGCUCAUGUUUUCUCCUUUUGGAUAUAUGCUUUGUGUCCUUGUUGCUGUCUAAAGUAUUAAUUUUAAGCUGCAUUUUGAUUUCAACAGCAUUACAGGUUAGGAAGUUAAAGUAAACUAUCAUAAAUCUUCUUUGGUGCCCAUAAAUGUGGAUUAGUCAGAGGCUGCUCGUUUAGCAGAUGUUUUUGGUUGUCAGUUGGGGAAACUGCUGUUCACAUAUUUGGGUCUGCCAGUGAGUACUACCAGACCUAGGAUUGCUUUUCUGAUGCCUUUAGUGGACAGGAUGGAACGUAGGCUCAUUGCUAGUUCUUCCUUUCUGGCUCAGGGUGGCUGUUUGCAACUGCUGAACUCUGCUUUGUCACCAAUUUAUUAUUUUUGCAGCCUCCAGCUCCCUCCUGGGAUCCUGAAACAGCUUGAAAGAAUUCAGAGACAGUGCCAUCGGAGGGAAAAUUGUCUGGAUCCAAAGCCAUCUCUGGCUGCUUGGGAGUUAGUCUGUCGCCCCAAGUCGAAAGGAGGUUUGAUCCUCAACCCACGUAUUCAAAGUGAGGCUCUGCUGCUGAAACAUGUCAACAAGUUCUAUAAUAAACUUGAUAUCCCCUGGGUACAAUUAAUUGGAAUUCUUACUAUCAUGGUAUAGUACCACAUGCUACUGCCCUCUGCGCUUCUUAUUGGUGGAGAGAUAUCUCCAAAUUGAUGGAUGAUUUUCGGGCUGUCACUUGGGUUCAGGCCAAUAUGGGGGAUUCUAUUCUGUUUUUGGAAUGACAGUUGGCAGUGUGGUGGAUCAAUCCUGCCUAUGAAUCUUCGCCUCCCCUAGGUUAUUCUCUUAUGCCCUUGCUGAUAGUGCUUCUGUUCCUGAUGUCCUGGAUUGUGUGGAUAGUUCUGUUCUUUCCCACCUUCCUCUUUCACGUCAAGCCCAUUCUGAGUUCCAGACUAUGUAAGGCUGGAGGUGCAUCAUUUUGAUAGAGGGCAGAAGGAUGUUUGGCAUUGGAAGGAAGGCGAUCGAAUAUACAGGGCUAUAAGUUAUUAUAAUUUUUUGCACAAGUCUUUGGUUUACGACCCUUUGCUUACAUGGAUCUGGAAAAGUUGUUGUAUCCUAAAGAUCAAGGUGUUUGCCUGGUUGCUCAUCAUGGAUUGGUUGAAUUACUAGAGACAUGCUUCAGAGGAGGAAUUGGAAGGUCACUGAGGAUAUGCAUUGCGAGCUCUGCUCCUCAGGGGCCAGGGAAGACAGAAACCAUUUGUUCUUCCAAUGUAAUGAACUGACUAUGGCUCUAGAGUAUGGGCUUAUUUGCAGAUUACUUGUCCUUUUGUUCAGGACAUGAGUGACAUUGCCAUGCAAGCUAAGAGAGGUUUUGGUCAACCUUUCUUCAGUGAAGUGGUGUUUCUGGCCUGGUGGAAUAUCUGGCUAAUUCCAAAUGCUAAAAUCUUCGAGAAUGAAAGACCUACCUUUGUCAAGUGGAGGAGUGGUUUUAUUCAUGAUAUUUCUCUUUUGGCUCAUAGGAUCAAAGUGAAACACAGGGAUAUGUUGCUUAGAUGGAUUUCCUUCCUCCCCCCUUAGGUUUGUAUUUCUUUAUAUCCUGUUGCUAUUGUCUAUAAACCCCUGUAAUAUUGUUUGACUUGGAAUAAAGAGGAGGCGUGGCCCUACAGUGUACAGUUAAAAAAGAUUAUCACGACAGUUUAAAAGAAGGUUACUACUAGCACGCUUUCGACUUCACUGUCAUUUCAGGGAAUAGCUGGUCUGUUCAAUAAAGACUAAACUAUAGUAUCUGACCCUAGUUUACAUCUCUUCAUAUACAUUCAUGCACUGGAGUGGCUUCAUUUUGUUGUAGUGACCUGUUCUAGUAACAGUGUUCUUUUGGUAAACAUUAGCUGCAUAUUUUUUUUGGAAUAUUGUAAAAGCAGGCUGUCCAUUCAUAUGACACAUGAAGGUGUACUAAUGCACGACAACUACAUUGUUUUCUUCUCAAAAGAAGAACAUAGCUGAAGUGUCAAUUGUCAAUUGUCGGUUACUGGGGUUUGAUCUGAUAGAUCGUAAAGAAAUUGUUUUUAUAAUAUUCCUGACCAAAUCAUACUUGACUAGAGAGAAGAGGAGACAAGAACAAGAAACAGAAACCUAAUAUAUAUCUGAAACUGGACAACCCGUUCCAAAUAAUAUAUGGGAAUAUUCCACAUGUCAGUGCACAUGAAUAAAGUGGGUACCUAUUGCUGCCUUGUGUCGGACAAACGCAGGUAAGGCUUGGGAGCUUUUUUAAGUAGUAUGGUUUAAGAAACUAUAUCAAACAUUGUCUACUUUACUGCACCCUGAUCCUACUUUAUGAACUAGGUGUCACAAUCAGGAGUGGAGCCUGCAAGGUGUGGUGAUGUGGUUUUGAACUGUACUUGACCUUUCCUUUUAAUAUAAUGGUAUUACCUUUCGCCAUUUUCUUUUAAAAGAAUUAUGUGGUCCUGUUCUUGGAUGCAGCACAAUAAUUGGAUCACUGUACCUUUUUACUCAGAGAGGUGCCUUGCUGAUUUAUUUGUUCUUUGCAUAGCUAGUACCUGCAAUUUUGAUGUAAGAUGUUAGGUGAAUCCAUGCUAGACGCCUUCGUGCUGCACAUUCCUGGUGCGUCCAUUCCCUGCCUUCUGAUAGAGUAUAUUCUCUGGUUAUCUGAUUGCUGCUCUUUUAUCUAUGUUUGUUCUCUUAUUUGAUCCAUCCACCUGAAUAGUCGAUGUGCCAUCUAGUAUCUUUUGAUGAAUGAUGAUGAUAACAUCAUAGCAAUGCACGUAUCGACACAUGAUCCAGUCAGCUGCAGCUCACAUGCGUGGAACUGUGAACCCAUACACUUGAAUAUGUGAUUAGUUAGUGUUGGUACAGAAGGUGAAUCGAUAUUGUAGAACAUUCUUCCCGAACUGCUACACAGACUCUUUUGAUGCAUGAGCCCCUUGUGGGCUGAAGGUGCGUCUAUGGGAUGUGCACAUGUCCCAUUGCAAGUUUGUGACUGUAGCAUUAGGAAUUAGCGCGCACAUUACAAGACAUCUCUUGCUCAUGGGCUCCCAACAUGUGAAACUGCUGGUGUCCUCAGUUACGUGUGUGCCUUUACACUUCUGUAGUCUCUUCGAUUGGCAGGUUGAUUUUAAGUACUCUCUCCGAUCCAUAUUACUACUUGUUUUAGAUUUGUCUAGAUACGGAUGUAUCUAGACACGAUUUGUCUAGAUACGGAUGUAUCUAGACACUACGUGUCUAGAUACAUCCGUAUCUAGACAAAUCUAAGACAAGUAGUAAUAUGGAUUGGAGGGAGUAUCGAGAAGUAAACAACUAGUAGUGGCAUAGUGGAAUAGAAAAUUCACAGUUGGGUGCUUGAAAUAAGGUUGGCUUUGUCAUUCUGCAUUAUCUUAUCACCUUUUCUGGCUUUCACCGACACCAAAAACACCGUGCUUGCAAAAGCGCUACCGUUUUUUAGUCCAUAUUAGUAAAACAUACAUUUGCACACUGCAAGUGGCAACACAUGAGUGCACAACACAACGGGGAUAAAGAUGUCCGGUAAAGACAUUACGAAAGGGCUAAGAUUCUUUGAUAAAUCCACCCCACCUCUGCUACUUUUCCUACUGUCUGGAAUUUAGCGAUGGUCCAGUGACAAAGACCCUUUCUUUGCCCGCAAUUUCAAAGUUGUGAGCAUCAAGGUGAAUAUCCCCUGUACCACAAAAGCUUUUCUCCUCUCAGUCUCCUUUACCAUCAGCUGACCCGUAAGCUUGUUUGGUGCUCGUAUGCUUCAUUAUACAGAUUUAUGUCGACACACAUACAGGUGUUACUCAUCUGUCGAAACAGCUGACCUGCCUGCACUGUAGUUGUUUCAUUGACAACAUCCUGCACACUGAAGGAGGAACAAGUAUGCACGUACUAUAAUAAGGUAUGCUUCGUAACGACCAAACACAAAUGUCCUCCUAUUGGUGUCUAUUGUACAAUCUAGUUGCAUGGGCUUGUCUUGGUACUGUACUGUAUAUAAGUAUUUCAAUUUGCUUUCGUCAGUUUGGCUUCUUGUAUUGUGGGGCGUUGCUAAAAUCCGCUCUAGAAGUGAUAUGAUCAAGUUGGCAAGUUGAAGCCAGUGUGCAGUUUCUGUCAUCCAGAAAGAACCAAUGCCACCUGUUUUUAAUCUUGACUUUGUCAAGAGCCUUUUGAUAUGAUCAUCAGAGCAGUAUUGGGAUAACUUCUAGGUUUGGCAAGUGGUGCUAUCAGAUGGGUAUAAUCACUAGCGCACCUAGAACACGUACUCGUAUAAAAACAGUACAUACUGUUGAUUCUUAGCAUCACAGAGGCGAAAGGAUGAAAAGGUUGGCCCUCCUGUGUGUAGUCAUGAUCUUUGCCUCUAUGAGGAGCGAUUGGUAGUUUGAUGCCCAGCCAGUAUGAAGGCAUCAGCACAUAUUUUACUUUCGGCAAUUUUGUGGUUUGGUCAAACCUUUCUCAUGGUUUUCGUGACCACAAAUUUAGAAAGGGGUGUGGUUGGAAAGAUAAUAUUGAAUUAACAACUCAGCUACUGGACCCUUCAGCCUUUUUAUAUCCUAAACUUCUAUAGCAUAUUCCACAUGAAGUUGCUACUCCAUAUAUAUCGUUCGGUGGUGUGAUGCUAUCAGGACAGGCCAGGUGCUGGUCCUCUUUUGUCAUGAACAGAUUUGCAUGUCAGGUUACAAAUUUGUCAGAGAAAAUAGGCGCCAAAUCUAUGUAACUGAAUCGAGAACUAUAGCGUUAAAUACAAGGUAGCCUAAUUUACAAAAUAGGCAGGAUAUCUCCAUGCAUCUGCGGUAUGCUAAUUCAUCUCACUACAAGAAAAAAAGGUUACCGAACUACUAAUCCUCAAAAAGGAUAACGAUCUCCAAACUGACCACAGGAUUUAGGUCUCCCCUGCUUCUUAGGAGUUCCUUUAGUUUACGGCUUCAGUGAGCAACAUUCCAAAUGGUUGAAAAGGUGUCACCAUUUCAGCCAUUUGCUGCUCUCUCAGGAGUAGCUCCAAUCUGAAACGAAAGGAAAAAAAAA
rnacentral:lncRNA from 1 species